rnacentral:lncRNA from 1 species
GACUUAUUGAAGACCUGAGUUCAGUUCCCACCUCUGAUACAUACAAGCUUUGUAUUGAACAGGCACCUCUCUGAGGGCACAUGGCCUGGUGGAUGGAGUUUCUUUCCUGAGAAUUCUCAACGUAGAUGAAAUCAGAGGUCUGAGACCAAAGUCCCCAUUCCCAAAAGUACAGGCUGCUAAAGAUGUUGAAGUGAAGCUGUGAAGGACACUGAAUUGCCAAGCUAAUGAAUAAAGACUUUCUUAGAAAACAAUAGUGAGACUUGUUGUUGAGCCUAGAGUUUUAAACAGAUUGUUUUGGCAGCCGUGGGUAAGGAGGAUUGGCAUGGGAAAGCUAGCCCAGAAUGAUCAAUCUCCCAACUCGGUGCAUUUCACUGACUGCCUUGCAUGCCUGGCCUGCUCUCUCUCCUCAUCUCUAUCUUGUGGUUCCUCUGGUUUCCUUCAUGUCCCAUCUUAAAAUGAAGGCUCUUUCUGCAAGGAGCCCAUAUUGAUUCCCCCCAAUACUAAUACUUUCCACAGGACAUUGUCUCCAAUUUGCACAGUAUUUCCCCUAUUAGACUGUGAAUUUCUUUCCUUUCCUUUCCUUUCCUUUCCUUUCCUUUCUUUUCUUUUCUUUUCUUUUCUUUUCUUUUCUUUUUCCUCUCUCUCUCUCUCUCUCUCUCUCUCUCUCUCUCUCUCUCUCUCUCUCUCUCUCUCUCUCUCUCUCUCUCUCUCUCUCUUUCUGUGUCUCUCUUUCUGUCUCUCUCUGUGUGUGGACACUUUCAAGACAUGUCAAGCUUAAAUUGUGCCUCUCCCACUUCCUCGAUAUGGGACCUAUGCCAGUUACUUCAUUUCACCUCUAGGAGCCUCAGGGUCCCUCAUCUUUUCAGUAGGAUUGACGUCCUUGUAGCCCCCAAUCAGAAGGCCUGGAGCAUGGGCCAGUGAGAGAAUGUCUAUAAAGCACUUUGCAAACAUUAAAGCACAAUGGAAACGUACAUCGUUGGGGAGUCAGGUGGGGAGAAGGGGGAGGCAUUUUCCUUUCUUUUUUUCUAGAAAGGAACUGAAUAAAGUACCCAAAUUAGACUUUCUCCGGAGUUAU